rnacentral:rRNA from 1 species
GACGAACGCUGGCGGCGUGCUUAACACAUGCAAGUCGAACGGUGAAGCGCCUUCCUUUUUGGUGGGUGUGGAUGAGUGGCGAACGGGUGAGUAACACGUGAGUAACCUGCCCCCUCCUUCUGGAUAACCGCAUGAAAGUGUGGCUAAUACGGGAUAUUCUGGGUCUGUCGCAUGAUGGGUCUGGGAAAGUUAUUGUUUCGGUGGGGGAUGGGCUCGCGGCCUAUCAGCUUGUUGGUGGGGUGAUGGCCUACCAAGGCGGCGACGGGUAGCCGGCCUGAGAGGGUUCACGGUCACAGUGGGACUGAGACACGGCCCAGACUCCUGCGGGGGACAGCUGGGGGGAAUAUUGCACAGUGGGCGCGAGCCUGAUGCAGCGGCGCCGCGUGUGAGAUGGAGGCCUUCGGGUUGUGAACCUCUUUCGCCAGUGAAGCAGGCCUGCCUCGUUUGUGGGUGGGUUGACGGUAGCUGGAUAAGAAGCGCCGGCUAACUACGUG